rnacentral:rRNA from 1 species
AGAACGAACGCUGGCGGCAGGCCUCAAACAUGCAAGUCUAGGGGGUGUAGCAAUACAUCACCGGCGGACGGGUGCGUAACACGUGGGAAUGUACCUAUUGGUUCGGAACAACGCAGGGAAACUUGCGCUAAUACCGAAUGUGCCCGAAAGGGGAAAGAUUUAUCGCCAAUAGAUCAGCCCGCGUAGGAUUAGCUAGUUGGUGAGGUAAUGGCUCACCAAGGCUCCGAUCCUUAGCUGUUCUGAGAGGAAGAUCAGCCACACUGGGACUGAGACACGGCCCAGACUCCUACGGGAGGCAGCAGUUGGGAAUCUUGGACAAUGGGCGAAAGCCUGAUCCAGCCAUGCCGCGUGAGUGAUGAAGGCCUUCGGGUUGUAAAACUCUUUCGACGGGGACGAUAAUGACGGUACCGUAGAAGAAGCUCCGGCUAACUUCGUGCCAGCAGCCGC